CCAAUUUUUCUGUUCUAAGCUUAUUUAUUUAUUUUUUUUCCACCAAGGAUAUCAUUUUUAAGAGAGAAUAGACUGUACUGUUUCGUGCAGUGGGGAAGGAGCCAAAAGAUCUGCUCUGUAUUUGCUUUUUCUUUUCUAAAAAUUUCACCAUGUUUUAAGAUCAGUUGGUUAUGCGCUUACCUCCAGUUUGGUUACUCCACCAUGCACUUACUAUAACAGAUUUAUGUACUGUUCUUAUAACUAAAACUGACUUGGCCAUAUUUUAUUGUAAAAACCAGAGGCAUGCCUUGGUUUAAGAGCGAUGGUGGCAAUUGAUGAACAAAAAGCUGCCGGAUCUUUUUCUUCUGCCUAUCCAAAUUUUGUGAGAAUCAUGAAGAAGUUCAACAUUAGUGGUUCGUAUACACUGGUAAGUAAUUUUGGUUUAUAUUCAGCCAAUAUUUGUGUAGGAAAUCAAAUUUACAUGUUAUGUUGAAAUAUUUAAUCCCACACUCAGCCUCUAUUAAGUAUGAUAUCUCUCUUUCUUAUUUAGUUAGCUUUUCCCUUUUACAUAUAUGGAGGUAGAAUUCUUUCUAAAUCUCCUUAAGUUAGCUUCAUGCAAUGCUACCCAUUUUUUUUUUGAAAAAAAAAAGAAUGUCUAUAGUAUACGGCACCCAUGUACAAAGUAUUUACAUCACAGUUAAAACUUUAAAAUUUUUUUCAAAAUCAUCCCUACUAUAAAUGUCAUAACAUAAAAAAAGAGCCCCAAAAACAUUAAUCCACCUGUCCCUAAUUCUGGUCAUAUCCCCCACACACUCCUCAAACGCUCUAUUGUUUUUCUCUUUCUAAAUAAUCCAAAAAAUAGUAAGAGUAAUAAGAUUUACAGUUUUCGAUCUUUUACAAAUCCCGUCCUAUAAUCAAAGUUCAACCCUAACAUUAACUGCAAUCACCCAGUUGAUACUCAGAAGAGUAUACACCAUAGACCAAAUAUUAUAAGUCACUAGGCACCAAACAGUAAGAAUUUACAAGAUUCAGCCACAUUCGUAGACAUGUAGCACCAAUUAACCAUUAUCUUGUUCUUUUCUCUUCAACUUGUCAAUGGUAAGGAUACAUUUCCAACCUGCUUCCCAAGCAAAAAAGCAAUUCUCGAUGGUGCCUUUGCCUUCCAUAUCUAUUGAGCUAGAAAAUUGAUGUUGUCCCCAUCUCCCUUAACCAAGUAAGUGUGGAAAGAUUUGACAGUAAACAAUCCAUUCUUAUUUAGUUUCCACACCACUUUAUCCUUAUCAUCACUCAAUUGCACCUUAGACAUCAGCAGAAGUAGCGGUCAAAUUCUUCAGUCUCCCAGUCAUUUAGGUUCGUAGACAAAGUCAAGCCCCACUCUCUAUUAUCAUCCUCAUAUCUGAACACCAAAUCCACCAACAUAUUUUUCCUUUGGGUGAUUGGUUAUAUUCAUGUAAUGCUACCAUCUAAGGGUCCAAGAGUAGGGAGAGAGUUCUUACUUCGUAGUUGUUAGGUGAGAAGAAUUAUUUUGAUGCCUCAGAAUAGGUGAUGAAUAACACUGCAAGAAUCAAUUGACUGGUGCAUCAUGAGUUUUUAGAUUUGGAGAUUGGGCCAUUAAUUUGUUUAGGGCCAUUGAAUAGAGUAGAUGGUUGAAGAGAGAGAAAAUUCCAAAGUUGCACGGGUGGAAAAGUGAGGUGUAGAUAGGCCUAGGGAGCUAAAGAAGUUUGUAAUCUAGUUAAGCUGAUAAGGGGAGCAAGUUUUGAGAAUCGGUCCAUUAAUUUUUUUAGGGCCAUAUAAAUAAAGGGAGCUGGUCAGGAAAGAUGGUAACGGCUUUCCUAAUAAUGAGCAUCUAUGUCAAAAAGUGUCUUGGAAUGUAGAAUACUCCAUCGAGAGGUGCAAUUAUCAAGGGCUGUUUGUUCAAAUGGAAGUAGAACCUAGUGUCUUCAAGAAUCUAAAAUCAAGGUUUCUUGAUACUGUCCCCAUGCC
rnacentral:lncRNA from 1 species